GAUGGGAGGGAGCCUGGCUGCAAAGAGGAGCUGAAGCCGGGUUCUGAGAGGCUUCCGUGAACCUGCCUCUUUCCUGGUUGGGCCUGUAGCCUCUGGAGCCUUGCUGAAGAACGGUGAAGACGGGUGUCCCUCUGAGCCUGUGGGCUCUCCCAAGGCUCUCCUGGUCUAGCCUAGGAGUUCAGAUUUAGCCAUGCGGGGAAUUUACCUAAUUGAGGCGAGUAGGCCCCGGGGGGCCAGUUCCCUGGGCUGUAUCAAGAAACUGAGGCUCAGAGGACACAGACCGUAGAGGGUGGAACCAUGGCUUCAAUCUUGUGCUCAAGAAUUAUCUCAGGAUUCUUCUGAGAGAAGUCCUCUUGCCAAAUGUGGACAGAACGUUGGAGCUGGGAGGGAUGUCACCUGAGAGAUGAAGAAACGGCGUUAGAGUGGAAACCGAUCGGGGAUACCUCCUGAUGCCUGCCUUGUUCAGGGCUCUUCUCCUGCGAUGGCUUUUUUGUGAAAAGAGUUGCCUUCAUCACCUCUUCCCGGCCAAACCCAAUCGCCGAGCCUCCCAGACACACUGUCCUUAAUGGUAUUUCAGCUUUGUCUCCUUUGCUCUCUCCACCUCCGAUUCCCAAUGAAAGAUGUCUAUCUGGUCCUCAGGAUCCAGUAGCCGAUGUGUCCCAAGGCUCCCCCGGCUAGAGCCACUAGAUGGCGCCAGAGAGAAGUUCCAGCCCAUCCCUCGCAGAUCAAGACGUCCUUUCGGCCUGGCUCUGUGGUUUUGUUUUAGGAGCGUGGGAGUGUGGGUUCCAGCCAAGCGGAAGUCGGCUUACAGGGGCACAUUAUCCUCCCGGGGAAUCUGUGCUAUCGGUGGGUUCUUUGGGACUAGUGACUUUGCCAUGGAAUCUAAAGUCAACAAACGUUUAUUAAGUGCCUACUGUGUGACCAGCAUUGUGCUAAGCACUGGCGACUCUGCACUUCUGAUGAGUCAGAGGGUGCUUUUGGUGGGCCGCGCUGGGGUUCGAGGAAGCACCCUACCUCACACUCCUGCCAAGGUGUAACCCGGGCAUGCCCACUUUAGCUAAGAUGGAGCCCCCUGUGUCCUCCACUAUGAGGGCAGCCUCCCUGAUUGGCCACGGUCUUGGUAAGGCACUUUGGGUGACCCACCGUUCAAAGGUGAGGCUUCUGAUCGUCCCAACUGACAGAAGGCCACGGGGACCUUGGUGUCAAAGGCUGGCUCUGGUCUCAGAGACUCCUGGGAGCCGUGGAAGCACCAAGCCCCACGUCCUAGCCCAUCCUCCCCCCUUCAUGUGCUUUUACUGUAAGUCAAGCUUCAGGUGUUUCGUUAGCACUCUCUACCAGCCAGGGGUUGUGCUGUGUGCUGGGGCUACAGAGAGAAAAAAAACAAGUCAGCCCCUGCCCUCAGGGAGCUGGCACUCUACCAGGGGAGCCAGUAUGUACAUAUGGGAGUAGGUACAGGAUACAUACAGAGUAAAUCCAAGGGAAUGUUUCCGGAGAGGAAGGUGCCAGAACCUGGAGGGAUUGGGAAGGCUCCUUGUAGGGGGUGACCUCCCGAGCUGAGUUUUGAAGGAAGCCAGGUAUUUGAAGAGGUAGCCAUAAGGAGCAAGUGCAGCUAGGCAGGGACAACAGCUAAUGCACAGACCUGGAGGUGGGGAAUGGAGCACCGUGUAUGAAGGGCAAUAAUGCUGCUUUGACGUCACGUUUGAGCUCAGGUCUUCCGGAGUCCAGACCCAGUGUUCUGACCACUGUGCCCUGUAGCUGCCCAAGCUUGCUAGAGACGCGUUGCAAUGGUCAAAUGGGCCUCCUGGGAGUGAUAUUGAUGGGUUUUGCUUCUAGAUCCAUUCUAUAAUGUUUUAAAAUAGGAGAAUUUAGA